rfam:Thorarchaeota archaeon SMTZ1-45 WOR1_30_36_8236, whole genome shotgun sequence.
CCAAGGUUCCUGAUCAACAAGCAGCCUAUGAGAACACAAUGAACGCAUUGCUUGCGACCAUUUCUGGCGCUGACGUCGUUCAUGACGGCG